ACAGUACUCCCUCCGUCCGAAAAUACUUGUCAUCAAAAUGGAUAAAAAGAGAUGUAUCUAGAACUAAAAUACAUCUAGAUACAUCCCCUUUUAUCCAUUUUGAUGACAAGUAUUUCCGGACAGAGGGAGUAUUAU
rnacentral:pre_miRNA from 1 species